GACGAACGCUGGCGGCGUGCUUAACACAUGCAAGUCGAGCGGUAAGGCCCUUUCGGGGGUACGACGAGCGGCGAACGGGUGAGUAACACGUGGGUGACCUGCCCUCAGCUCUGGGAUAAGCCUGGGAAACCGGGUCUAAUACUGGAUAUGACUCCAUGACGCAUGUUGUGGGGUGGAAAGCCUUGUGCGGCUGAGGAUGGGCCCGCGGCCUAUCAGCUUGUUGGUGGGGUGAANGGCCUACCAAGGCGACGACGGGUAGCCGGCCUGAGAGGGCGACCGGCCACACUGGGACUGAGACACGGCCCAGACUCCUACGGGAGGCAGCAGUGGGGAAUCUUGCGCAAUGGGCGAAAGCCUGACGCAGCGACG
rnacentral:rRNA from 1 species